UUGGUCAAUAAGCCCUGAACGGGCUGAAACCAAGCGAAUUUGGNAAGAAAUGUAUAGCAAUAGCUGAUUGCACCAACAAACAGUUGAUGCAAAAUUGAUUAUAUCAAAUAAAAUUCUAGGUAGAUUUUUGAUAAUGACAUUGCUUACCUAAGUCUUGACCAAAUUACGUGCCAGCAGUCGCGGUAAUACGUAAAAGACUAGUGUUAUUCAUCUUUAAUUGGUUUAAAGGGUACCUAGACAGCGAAUAAAGCCAUAGUAGGGACUAAUUCGCUAGAGUUACUUAUGAGGGGGUAUUAAAGUACUGCAGGUGUAGAGAUGAAAUUUUGUUAUACCUCUUCUCGUAUGAGAAACUAUGGCACAGGUAUAGGUGAAAGCAUCCCCUUAUGUGAUAACUGACGU
rnacentral:rRNA from 1 species